rnacentral:rRNA from 1 species
UACAGAGGGUGCAAGCGUUAAUCGGAAUUACUGGGCGUAAAGCGUGCGUAGUCGGUUAUUUAAGUCGGGCGUGAAAGCCCCGGGCUCAACCUGGGAAUUGCGUUCGAUACUGAAUAGCUAGAGUUCGGCAGAGGGAAGCGGAAUUUCUGGUGUAGCGGUGAAAUGCGUAGAUAUCAGAAGGAACAUCAGUGGCGAAAGCGGCUUCCUGGACCAGAACUGACGAUCAGGCACGAAAGCGUGGGGAGCAAACAGG